rnacentral:rRNA from 1 species
AUGGUAGCUUUCAGAGAUACAUUGGAAACCUGCGGUUUGGUGGAUCUUGGAUUCGUUGGUGCCCCAUUUACUUAUGAUAACAAGAGGUCGGGUUCUGGAAAUGUGCACGUACGUUUGGACAGAGCUGUAGCUACAAAUGAUUGGAGAAAUAUGUUUGCCUUUUCAUCAGUUCUGCAUGUCCCGUCUCCUUGUUCCGACCAUGUGGCUUUGGUACUUAAAAGUUCACCUGAUGAGGUUCCGACGGGGCCAAGAAGCAGGAGGUAUGAACUCUUCUGGGAGAGAGAUGGGACAUUACCAGAAGUGAUAAAAAAUGCUUGGGAGGCGGUUGGAGGUGUGCAAAACAUUGGCCAACUGCGGGAUGCAUUGACUAAAACAAUGUUGUCUCUCGGAUCAUGGAGCAAGAAAUUUGGUAACGUUACGAGGGAGCUAGCCAAGUCUAGGUCGCAAUUGGAGGAGCUUAUGCAUAUGAAUGCAGAUCAACAGGACAUCCGGAGGGUGACGGAUAAAAUGAAUGAGUUGCUAUAUCAAGAAGAG